CGCGGCUUCCAGCAAUCCGGGGCCGGAGCCGGGGCGCGCCGCGCGGGGCUCCAGUUUCGCCAGCCCCGGUGCUAUUUAAAGGUGUCAGGUGGCUCCGCGGCGGCUCCUGGCCCGGGUCCUGGCGGCGGCAGUUGGAAAAGCCGAGGCGAGGGCGCCGAUCCCGGACUGCUAGGGGAGGCGGAGGGACGGGGCAAUUGACUAUUGCUAACAAGUUAGCCUUGAUCGAGGAGUAAUCAAUUAUCCGCAGUGGCACUUCUCUCUCUUCCUCCUUUCUCCCUAUCUCUCUCCUCUUCUUUCUCUCUGUUCUCUCUCCUCUUCUCUCUUGCGCUCUCUCCCUCUCUCUCCCUCCCUCUCUGUCUUCUCUCUCCUCUGCUCCCCCCGUCUCUCUCCUUCUCUCGCUCUCCCUCGCCCUCUUUCACUCUCUGUCUGUCCAAUGCAGGCGGCUCUAAGUUGGGAAGCUCAUUAAUUAGCGGGCCGGGGGUAGGAGGAGCCGGCUGGAAUUAGCCUGCCUAAUGCGCCUGUCAGUCCGGGCGCGGCGCGGUGCUCGGCCCGAGCUGUUUGUAAAUUACAUUAGCGGCGCCUUUAUUGCACCCGAACCUCCGGCGACUGAAAAGCCACCGCCCCCACCCCAAACUGCGAGCCGCGCGCCCCGAUCAUCCGCCUCCCACCGGCGUGACUGCGAUGGCAGCGCCGGCCUGGAAGUCUCCCGGCUCUUGGACCCGGGAUCUGAAGCCCGAGAAGGGCGGCGAGAAGAAGCCCAGCCGCGGAGGCGACGCGGCGGCAGCGCGGGCCAGCCAACAGGGUGCAGGCGUUAGAAAUCUUCUCUUCAAUCCUCAUCUCAUCUCCAUUUUGCAGAAGAGGAAACUGAGGUUAAGAUCAUGUCACAGAAAUCGACCCCAGAUCCUGUUUGAGGGCGUUCCUGCGUUUAGGUCACACUCCCUUGCCUUGGACAGGUCAACGAUUUUGGCGGUGCCCAGACAAAGAUGUCUGUCCAUCCGCUCAUGAGUCUGCCUGUCCUGUGGGGCCGACGUCCCUGGAGGUCCUGGACCGAGGGCGAGAAGGAGCACGGGAGAGCGGGUCUGGCCCAGACGACCCCCCCAUAUUCUUUCUCCCUCUCCCGGGGCCGCCUCUCUGAGGCUGGGGCGGCCUACCUGGAAGGUGGGACUGGUUGUGGGGAAGCUGGCCCCGGGGUCUGGGGCUCCCUUCUGGCGGGAAAAGGCUGAAGUUCCGCUCCCUGGCCGCGGGGUCGCCCAGUGGCAGCCCCGACAGGCCCCGCGUCCCGCGCCACAAGUCCCAUUAUAUUGUAUUUAUGUUUCACUUUAUUGGUUUUUUUCCCCUUAUUAUUGUCUCACUCUGGGGGAGGCAAAGAAUAUAAUAUAUUCAUCUUUAUUAUACCGAAUCUGUGUGAAGCAUUUAAUAAAACGCUGUUUCCACACAGCCAGGG
rnacentral:lncRNA from 1 species